rnacentral:rRNA from 1 species
UACGUAGGGGGCAAGCGUUGUCCGGAUUUAUUGGGCGUAAAGAGCGUGUAGGCGGCCAAGCAGGUCCGCUGUGAAAACUCGAGGCUCAACCUCGAGACGUCGGUGGAAACCGUUUGGCUAGAGUCCGGAAGAGGAGAGUGGAAUUCCCGGUGUAGCGGUGAAAUGCGCAGAUAUCGGGAAGAACACCCGUGGCGAAGGCAGCUCGCUGGGACGUGACUGACGCUGAGACGCGAAAGCGUGGGGAGCAAACAGG